rnacentral:rRNA from 1 species
GUGUCAGCAGCCGCGGUAAUACGUAGGUGGCGAGCGUUGUCCGGAAUUACUGGGCGUAAAGGAUGAGUAGGCGGCCUGUUAAGUCGGAUGUGAAACAUCGGGGCUCAACCCCGAUCUUGCAUUUGAUACUGGCAGGCUUGAGGGCAGGAGAGGAAUGCGGAAUUCCCGGUGUAGCGGUAAAAUGCGUAGAUAUCGGGAGGAACACCAGUGGCGAAGGCGGCAUUCUGGACUGUACCUGACGCUGAGUCAUGAAAGCUAGGGGAGCGAACGGGAUUAGAUACCCCGGUAGUCCUAGCCGUAAACGAUGGGUACUAGGUGUGGGAGGUAUCGACCCCUCCCGUGCCGCAGUUAACGCAAUAAGUACCCCGCCUGGGGAGUACGGCCGCAAGGUUGAA